UGCCACAAAUUUGAAUAUAUCUGG
rnacentral:siRNA from 1 species